rnacentral:lncRNA from 1 species
UAUGUGUCACCUCAAGUAAACCAAAACUGACCCAAAUGUGUCCCAUGAUCCUAACAUUACUUUCCCUUUGCCCAUGUCAUACCAACCCAAUACUCAGCCUUCUAUUCUGCCUCUGCCCGUGUCAGACCAACCCAAUUCUUAGUCCAAACUGCCUAAAACUUAGUCAUUUGUUCUGCCAGUGUCAGAAUAUCCUCUAGAGCAAUCUCAUGUUCAGGCCUCUGAUUUAAACCAGUUUGCUGAAAUAAGUGAGUUUCGUGUCUAUACUAGAAGGAACAAGAAGGGAAAACUCUACAACAAAUCCAAGACUGUUGGGAAUCCAACCUGAGUCAACUAUCCAUGGCUUAUGAUUUCCAAUUUUAGCAAUAAAAACAUUUGAGAAAUUACCUUCGUGAGCUAAUGAUGCAACUUUGGUAUCAUUUUGGGAGGACAUAUGAGAGAACAUCUUUUGGAGAGCUUCAAUUUGCUUUUGACUAAGUAGAGUGGAUUGGGGGAGCAAUUAUGUGAUUUAAUUCUUCAGUUGAGACAUGAUUGCCUCGACUUUCCCUAUCCAUGGUGGAUUUUGAAGGUUUCCAAUCAACAGGUUUAC